rnacentral:rRNA from 1 species
GGUUUGAUCCUGGCUCAGAUUGAACGCCGCUGGCGGGAUGUUUACUACGUGAAGUCUGACCACAUGACUUCUUGGUCUGUGGCGAGUGCGAACGGGUGAGUAAUGUAUCGGAACGUUCACCACGUAGCGGGGAUAACUACGCGAAAGCGUAGCUAAUACCGCACGCCCUUCGGGAAAGCGGGGGACUUCGGCCUCGCACUAUUAGAGCGGCCGAUAUCGGAUUAGCUAGUUGGUGGGUAACGGCUCACCAAGGCGACGAUCCGUAGCUGGUUUGAGAGGACGACUGGCCACACUGGGACUGAGACACGGCCCAGACUCUACGGGAGGCAGCAGCGGGGAAUUUUGGACAAUGGGAAACUGAUCCGGCGUCGGCCCCGGCGUGUGCGAUGAAGGCCCUUCGGUUGAAAAUACACUUUUACAGGAGAGCCCACGCACGGGAUAAUACCCCAGGCAACUGACUGUACUCUUGCACAUCGGUCGGCCGGCUAACUACGUGCCAGCAGCCGCGGUAAUGUUUAGCUGGAAAAGUCGGAAACAAUCCGGAAUUACUGGGCGCAAAAACAGCAGAAGAUCUGUUGAAAAGAAAGAUGGGGAAAUCCUGAUGGACCUUACAACCAUUUUUGUCAUCUCACGAGCCAGAGGUCUGAGGUGAGGUGGACUCCGGCGUGUAGCAGGAAAUGCGUAGAUAUGCGGAGGAACACCGACGGCGAAGGGGCAUUCCUGGGAUAACACUGACGCUCACAGUCAGAAAGCGUGGGAGCGAACAGGACAGAUACCCCUGAACAGUUCAUCGCCCAAUCGAUGUUGGCCAAGCUGGGGUUUUGGGUUCCGGAAGAGCAUGAACGACACAGUUGACGCCUGGGGACACGGUCGCAAGAUUAAAACUCAAAGGAAUUGACGGGGACCUCCACAAGCGGUGAUGACAAGAUUAAUUCGAUGCAACGAAAACCUUACCUACCCUUGACAUGUCUGGAAUCCCGAAGCAGAUCACGGCGUGUCGCAAGAGAACCGGAACACAGGUGCUGCAUGGCUGUCGUCAGCUCGUGUCGUGAGAUGGGGUUGUCCUGGCAACGAGCGCAACCCUUGUCAUUAGUUGCUACGAAAGGGCAUCCCGACGAAGACCUGCCGGUGACAAACCGGGACAGCGUGGGAUGGACGUCAAGUCCUCGCGGCCCUUGGCGGGUAGGGCUUCACACGUCAUACAAUGGUCGGGACAGAGGGUCGCUAACCCGCGAGGGGGGAGCCAAUCCCAGAAACCCGAUCGUAGUCCGGAUCGCAGUCUGCAACCUGACUGCGAAGUCGGAACCGUUAGGUUCAGUGAUCAGCAUUCGCUGCGGUGAAUACGUUCCCGGGUCUUGUACACACCGCCCGUCACACCAUGGAAUGGUUUUACCAGAAGGUUGUCAGCCCAACCGUAAGGAGGUACUGACAGCCACGGUAGGAUUCAUGACUGGGGUGAAGUCAUAUUCACGGCAA